GAUUCAUACAAGAUUGGAAUUUUGAGACUCAUUUGCCCUAAACUUAUCCUUCAUUUUUAUUUUUUUGGUUGGGGAGGGGGGGUUGGUGGUGGGGUGGGGUAUUUUUAAAGGCAAUUCGCCACUAGCAUAGCUGCUACAAAAAUGUAUCUCUUUUGGUAUGAUAGGAGCAAGAUGCCUGGAAUAGAUCAUGCGUGCAUAAAAAACAAGUCAUCUUAUUGUGGGG
rnacentral:misc_RNA from 1 species